UCGAGAAUCAUUCGCAAUGGGCGAAAGCCUGACGAUGCGACGCCGUGUGAGCGAAGAAGGCCUUAGGGUCGUAAAGCUCUUUCGCCUGGGAACAAGAGAAGCCGGCUAAUAUCCGGCUGAUUUGAGGGUACUAGGUAAAGAAGCACCGGCUAACUCCGUGCCAGCAGCUGCGGUAAUACGGAGGGUGCAAGCAUUAAUCGGAUUUAUUGGGCGUAAAGGGCGCGUAGGCGGAGAUAAUAGUCAGAUGUGAAAUCCUGGGGCUCAACCUCAGAACUGCAUUUUGAAACUGUAUCUCUAGAGGGUAGGCGGAGAAAACGGAAUUCCACAAGUAGCGGUGAAAUGCGUAGAUAUGUGGAAGAACACCGGUGGCGAAGGCGGUUUUCUAGCUUAUUCCUGACGCUGAGGCGCGAAAGCAAGGGGGAUCA
rnacentral:rRNA from 1 species